AGAAGGAGGAGCUUAGAGAGAAUAUCCUGCCCAUUUUCCCCACUUUUGCUGAUACAGCAGUGGUGAGAGCAAGUCAAAGGUCUGAGUUCAGUGUCCUCUCGGCAAAUGGACAACUUUUCAAUUCUAGUAACCUGCAGGUUAGCCUGAAAUAGAUGAGAAGCUCACCCUCUUCUCUGAGUUGCUGAAGCUCUUCCUUAUGGCUGACUAAUGUGUGUGCAUAUAUGGAGCUUUCUGAGCAAGCACUUAUAUCCAUUUGGAAGAAAAAGAAUUGCGGCAUACUGAAUACUUUGGGGAUCCAAAUCAGGUUGCUAUCUUGUGUGUAUUUAGGAAUCAAAGAAGUCAGAAAUGGAAGAAAACUAUCAGAGUUUGUCAUCUGGCCACAACCUUUGUAAAUGCAACAAAUUCUUCUCCAAGAGAGGCUGCAAAUAGAGGGCAACAACUACUGAAACAUUAUCAUUACAUUCCCAGGAACUAAUUGCAGAGUUGAAUAACUUUGCACUGACUUCAGUGGUGCCCUGCAACCUUCAGUCUUCAUCACUUUGUUUACAUGCCACGAUCUUCUGACAUAGCCAUGGGACAUCCUGCCUGCAGGUGACAGCGCCCUAUGCUUCAGCCACGUUCCUACCCUCCACCUGUGGCUCUUUCCCAUGUGGGAAAUAUCUCACAACAUCAUGAGCCCAAUGGAGAAGCAGAAUGUUGUGAUGGAUCUGAAAGCUUUCUGUCAGGUUUCUGAUAAAAAAAAAAAAAGACAGACAGAUCUUCCCAAAGCUCCUAAAUGCUAGCAGAGGAAAUGCAGAGGAUUUGCCAACAGAUUUGUACUCAGUUGCUGAGCCUGGUUGUUGUCACUGGACUUGCUCUUUGGCUCAGAUAGUGUGGAACAACCCCUUUUGGUGAGGCUUCAGUGUAGAAACCAGUGUGAGUUAUAAAACAAGUAACUGCUCUGCUGAACAUGCAAUCCAGGCAGGAUUUGGCAGAUGCCUUCAGGUAUAUAUAAUGGUUUUUGUGACUGGGGAAAAAAGAUCAAGUUGUGAAUUAAAGUAGCUGAAGUAACUGCUUUUAUUCAUGAAAGCACUCAAAAAUAAUUCAAAUUUUGUUUUUUGUUUGCUUAGGUAGAAAAUUCUGAGGUAGGUUGUUUAGAGGUAAUCAAGGUAAGAUAGUGGUUAGUAAAGAAGGCCAGAAACACUGUGUUCCUAUAUAGAUUAAUAUAAAGUUGAUUUUGUCUCCAACUACUCUUGGUAGCACUGAUAAAUUAAAAUCAGUAGCAGAAAAUUUGGAAAUUCAGCUGUAAGGCACCUAUUCAAGGAUUUUUUCUUCUGCAUCUGUCCCUCUAUCAUCAGCAGGGAAGUAAUCCCUGGGUGUAGUCCCACUGCCAGGGGUAGCAACUUGCAGACAAAGUAUCAGCUGUUUACAGAACAGCUGGAGCAUGAAGUGGCUGGAAGCAGUAGCUAUCCACGAGGGAAAUGCACAUCCCUGUAACAGACUGGAGAGGAAGCAAUGUGCAUGAUCCCCUGGUGUGGGGGAGCAGGGCGAUUCUGAGGUUAAACACCAGAAUUUGACACAAUCUUACCUGACAUGACAGUGAUUCCUGUGAGGCACAUGUGAACAGUCAAGAGGGGAUUUCUGAAUGCACGGAGGAAAUGCCUCAGGGUCUGUUGGAAGAUAUUAUACUUCAGGUCAUGGGGUCGGCCACGAGGUGAGACCUGAGACUCUGUCAAGAUGGAUGUAAUUUAUCAUUGAAUUGGCACUGACAUUUGUGUGUAUGUGACAUUUGUGCCUUGUGAAGGACUUCUACAUAUCUGUCCCAUGGCUAAAGUAUCUCUUUCCCAUUAUGCCCAUAUCUGUGGGUCAGAAGUUUAGGUGUGGUUGUUAGGAGUGCCAAGGAUAACAUAAAUCACUGGGUGGUUUUUUUUUUGAGUUUUUUUUUUUGGUUGUUUUGGGGUUUUUUUGUUGUUUUUUUUGUGUUUUGUUGGGGUUUUUUUUCUGAUGUGUUUCCCCCUUCAAUGCUCUCACAUGUGCAGCCCUCAUGGGUCCUGAGGGUAAUUCUUGGAUCUUUGAUCCGUAAACAUUUUAAAUGCUGUGAGAAGAGCCUGGGCACAGAGGCAUUCUUGGUGUCUGCAGGAAGACUUCCUGGUGGGAUUUUGAUGGGAUUAAAUCCUAUUUUAUAUCUGCACAGGAAUAUGAAGCAUUGUGAUUAUAUAGAGUAAAUAACCAGGAAUAGCCUCCUUUCGCUCCUUUAAAUUUGUUUUAUUUUAUUUUUAAUAGCUCUGACAGUCUUCCUUAGGUUCUCCUCUUCCACUCAAAAUAUUGUCAGACCACUUGGACGUAAGAAGUACUUCGUUUACCUUGGACUAGAAUGAUCCAGCAUUUUUAAGACUUUGGAAGCUUACACCUUUCUUAUGGCAAGAAAACGAACAAAAAUUACGGUUUUUCUUCAGAUGAGUGAGACUUGGCUCCAAAAGCUAAAAAUGUCAGUAAAAUAACCUUCAAAACUAAACCUUGCAAAACUUCAGGAAGUUAGGUAUGCUUCAGGCAUAUAAUUUUGCUACAGAGCUUAUGUUUUGGCGUUACCCAAGCAAGCUUGAUGAGCUGACUGCUGAGCAAAUUGUUUUGUAUAGGUUUUUUGCUUUGACAUCACACUAUUCAGCUAAGGGUGCUAACCUGCUCACACUUCAGUCCUGCAAAUAGGAGACUGAAUCGAUCCAUAGACCUUAUUGAAGCAUUUUGAUUGAUAUGGGCCCUGGAAAGUAAGGAUGAGUUUGUCCUUAUGAAUGUCUUUGAUAUGAAAAUCAGCCUGGUAGGCAAUGAGUGAGGGGUCAGCAAAUUCAAGCAGUUUUGGUUUGGCAUCAACUGAACUAGCUAGAAGUGACAAUCAAGUGAUCUUAUCAAGGUUUUUACUUUGGUUUGGAUACUCCUGGAAUUGAGCAUCUCUCUUCUGUCACCUAUCUAACUUCUAGAUAUAUAUAUAUAUUUUUUUUUUUUUUUUCAUUUCUGAUUCAAGUUAGAGCUGUGGGAAGCAUAACUUAGCUGUGGGAAAGAAAACCAAAUCUUACAACUUACUCCUUAGUGAACUAAAGGCAAAUUGAAGGAUUAAGAGAGUAAUAAUCUAAUAGUAUCCUAAUUAAUUUUAGGUUUUGGAAAGCUUCUGCUUUGCAACUUUGG